AUUGAACGCUGGCGGCAUGCCUUACACAUGCAAGUCGAACGGUAACGCGGGGCAACCUGGCGACGAGUGGCGAACGGGUGAGUAAUAUAUCGGAACGUGCCCAGUAGUGGGGGAUAGCCCGGCGAAAGCCGGAUUAAUACCGCAUACGACCUAAGGGUGAAAGCGGGGGAUCGCAAGACCUCGCGCUAUUGGAGCGGCCGAUAUCAGAUUAGGUAGUUGGUGGGGUAAAAGCCCACCAAGCCGACGAUCUGUAGCUGGUCUGAGAGGACGACCAGCCACACUGGGACUGAGACACGGCCCAGACUCCUACGGGAGGCAGCAGUGGGGAAUUUUGGACAAUGGGCGCAAGCCUGAUCCAGCCAUGCCGCGUGCGGGAAGAAGGCCUUCGGGUUGUAAACCGCUUUUGUCAGGGAAGAAACGCUCUGGGCUAAUACCCUGGGGUAAUGACGGUACCUGAAGAAUAAGCACCGGCUAACUACGUGCCAGCCGCCGCGGUAA
rnacentral:rRNA from 1 species